UGAGCACCUCCCCACGUUAACACAUGAAUCAUGCUGACAGUACAGAAUAGCCUUACCCCUCCCAGUCUGAGGAAAAGAGAAGGCCUGGAAGGCUCAUGUAGCUGUAUGAUGACAGUCUACAGAGAGAGAAAUAAGACUGCUGAGCCCACACAUGCAAAAGCAGGUUGGCUUUAGCUCUAUGUUAAAGGAAUACUUUUCCCCAGAGAGCAGAGUUAGUGCCGUGCAUCUGUUGCCAGGAGCCAUCUCCAAGACUCUUGAUGUGGGAUUGUAAAACAGAGUUGGCCUAAUGACAAAGGGGCACAGAAAUUGGAACUUCCUCACUCCAUGUCUGCUUUAUAUAGGAGGAAACUAUGCUCAAUUGAGUGAUUCUCCUAGUCACCCUUGGCCUUCCAUCCACCCAGCAAAACGGAAGCCAUCAUCAUGGAGAGGCUGAGGAAGCCAAUGACACCUACUGACUCAGCCUCAUCCCCUGAAGGAGACCAGUCCUUCAAGAAACUUGAAAAAAGCCAACGCUCAAAUGGUAUUUAUACCAAGGCUACCCUUUGGAAGAAGGAUCAUGAUACACCUUUAUUUGCUUGGAAAAAUAGGAAAGGUAAAAAUGCUUGCCUCUGGGACUUCCCUGGUGGCUCUGUGGUAAAGAAUCCGCCUACCAAUGCAGGAGACAAGGGUUCAGUCUUGGGCCAAGAAGAUCCCACAUGCCUGGAGCAACUAAGCCUGUGUGCCACAACUUCUGAUGCUGUGUUCUAGAGCCAGGGAGCCACAGCUACUGAGCCCACAUGCCACAACUACUGCAACCUUUGUGCCCUCGAGCCUGU
ensembl:lncRNA